rnacentral:rRNA from 1 species
CCUACGGGGUGCAGCAGUGGGGAAUAUUGGACAAUGGGCGAAAGCCUGAUCCAGCCAUGCCGCGUGUGUGAAGAAGGCCUUCGGGUUGUAAAGCACUUUCAGUGGGGAAGAAAGCCUUGGGGCUAAUACCCUCGAGGAAGGACAUCACCCACAGAAGAAGCACCGGCUAACUCCGUGCCAGCAGCCGCGGUAAUACGGAGGGUGCGAGCGUUAAUCGGAAUUACUGGGCGUAAAGCGCGCGUAGGCGGUCUGAUAAGCCGGUUGUGAAAGCCCCGGGCUCAACCUGGGAACGGCAUCCGGAACUGACAGGCUAGAGGGCAGGAGAGGAAGGUAGAAUUCCCGGUGUAGCGGUGAAAUGCGUAGAGAUCGGGAGGAAUACCAGUGGCGAAGGCGGCCUUCUGGACUGACACUGACGCUGAGGUGCGAAAGCGUGGGUAGCAAACAGGAUUAGAUACCCCUGUAGUC